rnacentral:rRNA from 1 species
GAUGAACGCUAGCUACAGGCUUAACACAUGCAAGUCGAGGGGCAGCAUGGUCUUAGCUUGCUAAGGCCGAUGGCGACCGGCGCACGGGUGAGUAACGCGUAUCCAACCUGCCUUAUACUCUUGGACAGCCUUCUGAAAGGGAGAUUAAUACAAGAUGUUAUCAUGAGUAAGCAUUUUCGCAUGAUUAAAGGUUUACCGGUGUAAGAUGGGGAUGCGUUCCAUUAGAUAGUAGGCGGGGUAACGGCCCACCUAGUCUUCGAUGGAUAGGGGUUCUGAGAGGAAGGUCCCCCACAUUGGAACUGAGACACGGUCCAAACUCCUACGGGAGGCAGCAGUGAGGAAUAUUGGUCAAUGGACGAGAGUCUGAACCAGCCAAGUAGCGUGAAGGAUGAAGGUUCUAUGGAUUGUAAACUUCUUUUAUACGGGAAUAAACGAAUCCACGUGUGGAUUUUUGCAUGUACCGUAUGAAUAAGGAUCGGCUAACUCCGUGCCAGCAGCCGCGGUAAUACGGAGGAUCCGAGCGUUAUCCGGAUUUAUUGGGUUUAAAGGGAGCGUAGAUGGGUUGUUAAGUCAGUUGUGAAAGUUUGCGGCUCAACCGUAAAAUUGCAAUUGAUACUGGCAGUCUUGAGUACAGUUGAGGUAGGCGGACUUCGUGGUGUAGCGGUGAAAUGCUUAGAUAUCACGAAGAACUCCGAUUGCGAAGGCAGCUUACUAACCUGUAACUGACAUUGAUGCUCGAAAGUGUGGGUAUCAAACAGGAUUAGAUACCCUGGUAGUCCACACGGUAAACGAUGAAUACUCGCUGUAGGCGAUAUACAGUCUGCGGCCAAGCGAAAGCAUUAAGUAUUCCACCUGGGGAGUACGCCGGCAACGGUGAAACUCAAAGGAAUUGACGGGGGCCCGCACAAGCGGAGGAACAUGUGGUUUAAUUCGAUGAUACGCGAGGAACCUUACCCGGGCUUAAAUUGCAACCGAAUAUGGCGGAAACGCUAUAGCUAGCAAUAGCGGUUGUGAAGGUGCUGCAUGGUUGUCGUCAGCUCGUGCCGUGAGGUGUCGGCUUAAGUGCCAUAACGAGCGCAACCCUUGCCGAUAGUUACUAACAGGUCAUGCUGAGGACUCUGUCGGGACUGCCAUCGUAAGAUGUGAGGAAGGUGGGGAUGACGUCAAAUCAGCACGGCCCUUACGUCCGGGGCUACACACGUGUUACAAUGGGGGGUACAGAGGGCUGCUACCACGCAAGUGGAUGCCAAUCCCAAAACCUCUCUCAGUUCGGAUUGAAGUCUGCAACCCGACUUCAUGAAGCUGGAUUCGCUAGUAAUCGCGCAUCAGCCACGGCGCGGUGAAUACGUUCCCGGGCCUCGUACACACCGCCCGUCAAGCCAUGGGAGCCGGGGGUACCUGAAGUGCGUAACCGCAAGGAGCGCCCUAGGGUAAAACUGGUGACUGG